rnacentral:rRNA from 1 species
UACGUAGGGGGCCAGCGUUGCUCGGAAUUACUGGGCGUAAAGGGUUCGUAGGCGGUGCGGCAAGUUGGGAGUGAAAUCUCUGGGCUUAACCCAGAGGCUGCUUUCAAAACUUCCGUGCUCGAGUGCGAGAGAGGUCAGUGGAAUUGCAGGUGUAGCGGUGAAAUGCGUAGAUAUCUGCAGGAACACCCGUGGCGAAGGCGGCUGACUGGAUCGCAACUGACGCUGAGGAACGAAAGCUAGGGGAGCAAACAGG